UGCAGACCAAGUGUGUUGGGGACUUGAGAUGCGUACAUGAGUGUUUGUGAUGUUUCCUGCCGAAAGCACAGGGAGGAGGACCUGGUUGAUAGAAGAAUUUAUCUCGUAGUCUUAACAUCCACUGUAAUUCCAAACUUUGAGGACGAUAGAGAUCAGUGGGCUUUGACUGCCCAGCAUGCAGUCUCCAUUCUUAGGUGGGUUCCCAAGCCUGUAAAAUGUAAGCCUUAUGCUGCUGAGGGCCAUCUUACCACCCUGAGGGAAACGCUGCCUGAGAAUGAAACCAGCAUAAGUAAAAGCUGAGCUGUGAGAUGGAGCAAGAUGAAGGCCACAUGACAUCUUUGGAGCACCUGGAUCUAACUGUGCCUUAAGCUAGUCUAACCCUGAACAUUUCAUCAUUUCAUUGACAUGAGCCCAGGUUUUCUUUUUUUUUGGAUGGAGUCUUGCUCUGUCGCCCAGGCUGGAGUGCAGUAGCUCAAUCUCGGCUCACUGCAAGCUCCACCUCCCGGGUUCACGCCAUUCUCCUGCCUUAGCCUCACAAGUAGCUGGGACAACAGGCGCCCACCCCCACUCCCAGCUA
rnacentral:lncRNA from 1 species